rnacentral:rRNA from 1 species
UACGUAUGGGGCAAGCGUUAUCCGGAUUCAUUGGGCGUAAAGAGCGCGUAGGCGGCUUGUUAAGUUAGGUGUGAAAUCCGGGGGCUCAACCCGCGGCUUGCAUCUAAAACUGGCAGGCUUGAGUCUGGUAGAGGAAAGUGGAAUUCCCAGUGUAGCGGUGAAAUGCGCAGAUAUUGGGAGGAACACCAGUGGCGAAGGCGGCUUUCUGGGCCACGACUGACGCUGAGGCGCGAAAGCUAGGGGAGCAAACAGG